CUGGCCUCCUGUCACUUGGCUGGCUGACUUAAAGCCUGUGAAGGCUGCAGUGUGGGGGUAAGGUCGGCACCAGGACAGGCACGAGCAUGCAGCGGCUGAACGCUGUUGACUGGAUACUGAGGCAAUGUGAAUGGCGCUGUACCCCCUGGGAGCCUGAUGGAGGCCUGUACUCCAAGACCACAUCUGGAGGUGUGAAAAGCCUGUGCCUGCCGCAAGGCUGAGAGGCAGGGCAGGUGUUUCCCUGUUUCCCAUCACUUGCUUCUUGAUGGGACAGAUUCUUUUUCCAAGUCUGACAUUUCUCUUUGCACCCCUAUUGAAUAUGUAAGUGGCCCUUAGUCUGUUCAGCCCCUUACAUUGUAACUUAAAAGCCUGUUAUUAUUAUGUUUAAUUUUCACUCGGA